GGCUAUUCACAAGCAUAUGCAGCGGGCACUUCUGCACAUCUAGUCUCCGGCCGUGUUACGUCUGCAUUUUUCUCGCCGGUGGCUUUCAGCUGGGAUAUGGACAUUCGUUCAACUCCCUGCACUUCUGACAAGUACCAUGUAUAUACACUCCUAUGGCACUACGGAUGUUUUCUCGUGUGACGUAUAAGCCCUGUGGUAUUUAAGGUGCCGAACGUCUGCUUUUGAAUGAAGCCGUGUUUUCCUCUGACGGCUAUGGUUCGUGUUCUCUCAGUGCUCCUUUUCUUAAUCCUGUUGCUACACCUUGCCGGUUCCGCAAGUACAAACUUCGUGGGCUUCCGAUGAAAUUUGCUGCAAUUGUAUUUACUAUGCAGACUUUCGAGGUUAGGUUUAUGCUUCGGAAAACUUCGCCACAAAGUUUCCAAAAGGCUUUUGUAAGUCUCUCUCUGAGUAAGACGACGUUAAAUUCCUUCCGUUCCUGGUUAUAUUUCUUACCUCAUUUAAUUUCCUUACCCGUAAUUUAUUUCGCCUAGACGGAGUGCCACAUUUUUCCCAAUGCUGUUGUAACUCUACGUAGUCUUUUGUCGAAGGUUGCCGCCCUAUUCUUCAAUGUUUCCUCGCAGUUGUCUGGUUCCGCCCGUCGGGUCCGCAGAAGUUACAGGAACAGGUUCUCCAGGUCCAUCGUGAACUUGUGUGAACGAUUGUUUCUUAAUGAUAGCACCUACUUCGUAUGCUCGGGUAUAUAGUUCUCCAUUAUGCAGUACACAUCCACCGAUCGCUUUCCGCAGCAGACUUGAAAACUACGAAUGAGCCAUUCACAGAAACCGCCCCCACACGGUGUUUUGUGGAGGAAAUUUCCACUUGGUGAUAGGUCAUAAAUUGUUCAGUUGUUUAUCGACUUAAUGUUACUGUUACCGCAUUCAAUCCCUUAUUAGUUCUCCUGAAAGGCUUGCGUUGUUGCUGAGCACAUUUAUGUUCGUCCUGAGAAACGCCGAAAAUAGUGUAGAAAACUGAUGUGAAGCGUCUCCAACAGUUUCGCAGUCUACACCUCUUGUCACGGCACAUGUGAAAGUUGCUACACAAUGUUUGGCUAUGUCUCCUUGUUUUUUCUUUUUUGUAGUUGCUCCCAGCGCACCGUUGGAACGUAGACCAGCUAUUUCAAACAAUGGUCUUCGUUACUCUAUCCUCAAGUGGAGGUACUUCCUCUUACAAGGGUCUGAAAUUGUAUCUUCUCCACACAACGCACUGUCGUAUUACUUCUUUCACUUAUUUUGGUCCUCCGAUUACCCGAAAUCUCGUUAUUAUACGCGCCAGUGUACCGCGUACUGCACCGUGAAGUUUGCCCUAUAGGCGUCGCACUAAUCGUCCAGAUUUAUUCCAUUUACAUGUGAUCGGGUGCUGCUCCUCUUGUGAUACGGGCCCUACCGAAGGCACCCUUGAAGUCUCAUUGGGUCUUUAUCGUAAGGUAUCUGGUAUUCACCUAUUGUCUGCACAUUCGCUUGCUUGCUGAAUUUCUGCAAUUUGCAAUACACACUUUGUUCAAGCCAAAUGAGGCAUGUUUCGGCGGUAUUUCUUCUGCUUUUAGUGGACCGUUGAACUUGUCCUCUAAUAUUCACGGAACGAAACAUUCACGCAGUUGCUCUCCAAAUAUUCAAGUAACUGCCGAACCUGUCAACUUCAAUGCCUCGUCUUGAGAUCCCUUUCGACGUAUAUGACACUAGAAUCAUCUCCUUUCAUUAUUAACCGGCAUUUUGUAACGGCUAUUUGGUCUGUAGCAACUGGGAUCCCUUCCACAAAGUUGUUCACUACAUCUUUUCUACAGUGACUCCUGGUUACAUCUCAAUUUUUCAGUAUUGACGUAUCCCCAUUGUUCUCCUACUGAGUAAUACUUUUUUUUGUAGUCUGUGUUCAACGGUUGCUUCAUACAUUUUCUUUCUCCAAUGCAACACGAUUGUACAAGUGGUCCGAUACUUUACGCUUCCUCGCAAGUUCUAAUUUGCGAGACUGACGACGGUUUUCAUUAGAGUAUACUCUGUUAUUUGCCAGGACCAGCACUGUCUCCGCUCUAACAGUACCAUGAAUGCUGCACUUGAAUACACCGCCGGGCUUGCAUCCGAGAAAAGUGUCGGUGCUUACGUUCCGUUUCUUGUUGUCGAUGUGCUUUGAGGCAUUUAGUCCUUUAUCGUCCUCAGUAUAUUUCUCCAUAGAUCAUGUACCUUCGUCUGGGAGAGGGUUGACCCAAGAUUGCGUUUUUUUCCCGUCAUUCAAUACCGAUAGUAGCUGUUGCAGUGCAGGACGUUAGAAACUCCAGCCGACCAAAAAUUUUGCCCUGGCUUGAAAUACUCAUCGCUUCGUGAGCAUUUCACUCGAGUCUUCAUAUCGAUGGGAAAGCAGAAUCCCGUCGGCCGUAUCCCAGUUCAUUCCUAGAAUACUGGUCUAGCUUGAUCACGUAAGAAUAGCACCUUGAUGCAAAUUUCAAUUCUCAUUUCUUCACUGUUCGAUGUCCAUUUCCUAGGAUUCAUUGCAGCUCGGAGAAUUUUUUUUUUUGCUUCUACGUACACGCCUUUUGGCUGGUUUUCUUAUGAUGUUCCAAGCAUAUCAUCAACGCAAACUUAAUUACGUUUGCUGUCAUUGCAAGAAUUUCUUAGAAAAUUCAUUAACAGUGUUGGUACAUCUGCAUUCAAAUUUCCUCCUGUCUGAAGAUAAUCAUUCAGAACAUAACUGAUCUUAAUCACGAGGCGUCAAAUACUACGCUUAAUUUUCUUGCUAGUCGGUCUUGAAUUGCUUGAUGGCGCGAUAUGGUAGUUAUUGUUCAGGUUCUUCCGAACUCUCUCGUUCUGCUUUCCAGGUGUGAAACAUCUCGCAUUGAACAGUUCUAUUUUUAUCUCACUGCUGCAUUAGUCUGGUGUCUUCGAGAUAGUCUUCCGAUUGCUACUUCGUUGAUUUCCAUGUUAACUUGAUUUCUUCAUCCUUCUGAACAGUCCUUGUAACUGCAUAGUCCACCUUAUGCAUCGUUUCAUUCUGAGGCGCUAAGUCAGUAUAUUCCACCUUCAAAAAGUUCAAAAUGGCAGUCGUCAGUUCCUGCGGCGUCAAGAACCAUGGCGAGUUUCGCUUUUCGCAGUUCUCUUCUGCACCACAUGGGUCAGGCACAAUCCAGUCGGGUAUUUUCUAUUUUCCAUUGUAUCUUCGUUUCGUCUUUUCACUGGGCUUUCCUCCUCGUCUGCACUACUACUGCUUCUGCACUCCUGUUUUAAUUGUGGUCCACAAGCGUACCCAACGCGCUCUUGCACGACUCUACGGUCUGCGCUCCAAAAGAUUACUUCGGGCACGAGCAUCACCUGUUCCAGGAGCGAGUGCUAUUGCUUCUACAUUCCCUCGCCAGUGGCGUCCUGCUGGUAGACUGUGCUUGUCUCCUUGACCUGCACUACUGGUUCUUCAAUUGCGGUCCACAAGCGUACACAGCGCGCUCUUGCACGUCUCUACGGUCUGCGGUCCAAAAGACUACUUCGGGCACGAUAUCACCUGUUCCAGGAGCGAGUGCUAUUGCUUCUGCAUUCCCUCGCCAGUGGCGUCCUGCUGGUAGACUGUGCUUGUCUCCUUGACCUGCACUACUACUGGUUCUGCACUAAUGUUUUCGACCGCGGUGGGUAUACCUAACGCGCUCCUGCACAUCGACUCUCCGUUCUGCGCUCCAAAGGAGAUUACUUCAGGCACCAGCAUCACCCGUUCCAUGAGCGACUGCUAUUGCUUCUACGUUCACUCGCCGACAGCGUCCUGCUGGCAGACUGGACUUAGCCUGGCGCCCUUGCACUUCUGGUUCCCAGUGUUUGCUGUCGCUUGUGGCGCAAGAGAAACGUUCCAGCACUCUCAUUUACAAGAACAUUCCUGGCCUCGCCUCACGAGCAACUAUCUUCAGCCCGGUCGUCCUGCCGCGUGCUCUACACAAGCUUCCUCACACUAGUGAACGCGUCGCACGCCUGUCUUGGCGGUGUCCUGAACUGUGUUGACGGCGUGUUCAUGCUCUGAAGGACUGCGUGUGGUCACCGUCCCGAGACCGUCCAUCGGAUGUGCUCCUACAGUUCGCUGUUGCCUUUUUCCGCAGGCAUGUUUAAGUUUUGUGUAGCAAGCUUUUCUGUUUUGGAAGAGUGGCACGUUGCUCCGCGAAUGGAUAGCGCUUCUAGAAAUCUGCUUAUAAUACGAACCAGAGCAGUAAAGGUCGGGUUAAGUGGACACCACUCAGUACUUAAGGACUGUCGAUGUUUUCAUGAGCCGAUCUGUAAAUUUUUGGUGGCGAGAGUAAUGGACAUUCAUUCAUUGCGCUCUUUCGUAGUGUGUGUGUGUGUGUGUGUGUGUGUGUGUGUGUGUGUGUGUGUGUGUGUGUGUGUGUGUGUGUGUGUGUGUGUGUGUGUGUGUGUGUGUGUCCUACUCUGUGCUCUUUUUUUUUUUCGAUCGAGAACGUAUGACAUAAGCUCCGCUGCUACCUGGCGCACUUCGAAUAUUUUGUUUUGGUAGCAUUUCCAACGUGCUGAUAGGUUUGAUCGUUUACUAUCGUCUAUGUGCAUGCGCUUUUCGACUGUUCUAACCGCUGGCUUCUUUGGCUUUGGUCCAUGGGUUGACCUCUGUGCUCGUUUCAGCAUUCAGCGGAUUUGUUCAGGCGCCUUUCUCGGGCCAGAAACGGUUUCACACAUUUUCGGUUCUUCCACGUCGCUCAUCACUGACUCGAAAAGAUUAACAUGCCACUACAAAAGGACACAAUGUCAAUGAAUGGGAAAGGGGAGGGUGGUUAUUCUCGCCAACAAAGACUUCCUGAUUUGCUCAUGAUGAUAAUGACGUCCAUCUUUAAGACUGGUUGGUGGUAAUGGUUACCGGGUACGCUGUUUCUAGUUUUUUGGUGUCCUUGACUCAUCAGAUGCUUUGAUGGAUCUACAAGAUUCAACUUGUGUAUUACCUGUCGUUUGCUUAUCGGACAGUGCUACCCGCUGUCGUCGCUUGUUCACCGCUUACACCGCGCCGUAGUUUGAUAUUUGUGUCCACAACUAUCGCGUACUCUGCAAGAUAGAUAAUACUUAAGCGCCAUGGCGCCCUUCACGCGGCUUUUACGUCGUUGCCUGCUGGCUGUAGUUCAGAUUACGCACACUUGUGUAAUUUCGUGAUUAAAGUUCACCGCGUGAGCCAUUGUCAAACAGCUGCUUCGAAGGGGCUACAUGUACUCCCAUUAUGCCAAGUCGUGUGUAAACGUCUUGACAAGUGACGUACACGAGCACGCUCAAAGAAAUCUUGAUUAGAAAAUGUGUCCGCUUUACUGGUAUUUAUGGUGUUGAAGCGAAUUCAGUUUACCAGAGCUUCCCCCGUACUUUUUUUUUCUUGCUGUACGCUGUGUCUUUCCAUUGCUCUUCGCAUGCAUCUGAAUGCGUUUGCGUUGAGUAGUGGCUGAAUUUGCACAUGCUACCACUUCUGUCCUAAUCUCGAUAUAAGGACGCACACUUGAUUUAUUACGAAUUACUUCCAUUGUCCUCAACCUGUAAUAACCUUACCUCUGCGUUGCUCGAUAACCAAAUAAAAAAUAAGCACCGUCCUUGGUAGAUGGUUACGUAUGCCGCAUUGCUCUGCCUUUUUUUUUUCGCUGCUUUCAUACGCUGUGAUGAAAGUCGAGCAACCACGCAUGCGCGGUUGUGCUCGGUCGAAUGCAUUUUUCUUAACCUCUAACAUACACGCAGCGCAAUGGAGCCUUACUGUAGAAAGUAUUUUUAUUUUCCAUCUUCAGUUAUACGACAGUCCUGCAGUUGCGCCACACAAUACUCGCAAUCAGUUCACGAUACGACCAGUGUGGUGAUUUGGACUUCUUGAUAUGCAUCCGCCGUGGUUGCUUCGUGGCUAUGGUGUACGGCUACUAAGCACGAGGUUGCGCUAUCGAAUCCCGGCCACGGCGGCCGCAUUUUUAUCGGGGCGAAGUGCGAAAACACCCGUUUACUUAAUUUAGGUACACGUUAAAGCACCCCAGGUGGCCCAAAUUACCAGAGUUUCCCACAGCGGCGUGCUUCAUCAGAAUGUGGUUUUCGCACGUAAAACCUCAAUUUUUGUUCGUAGGUGUCAUUGGAGGCUCUUUUUUUUUUUUUGUCUAACGCAACUAGUACGUGGACACAGAAAAAAAAAAACCCACACGGCACUCAAUAGUUCGCAAUACGACAGCGAUGCACGAAAUAACUGCACAUUGAGGUCAUGAUAUUGGAGGAUGUGACGUGGUCUAAAAAUGUUUUAGUCCCUUCUGUGCGUUUCGCAUCCAACUGGGGAAGUUCGAACACUUGCGCGCUUUCUCGUUUACUGAAAACAAAUGCCGGAAUCGUUUUUUUCCAUCUCCCAGCGAAGGUGCUCUGCUGCACUUACCCAUUUCAGAUAAGUUUUACAGUUUAAAGGUAUUUGAACUUUAUUUUAUGCAAGGAAGUCUGUUACUGCGCCUUGACUUAUACUGUUAUUUACGGUUUCCUGAUGUAAGAAAACUGUUCUGUUUUACAUUAUUAUACGUCGAAGUAUCGUGAAGAUAAAUUAUCUGUGCUAUGUAAAUUUCGGCAUGUAUUUAACAUGUAUUUCUGUACAAAUGCAUAAAUGUAUGUUAAUGCACUGUAUAUAUGUUGCUGUUUGCAGUAUCUGGGAUUAAGUCCAGUCAAGUAGCAUUUAAUCGCUUUUAAUUCCGUUUACUUAACAGUCAUGUUUCGCGCUGGUUGUAUUGAGUAUGCAUUGCAUUAAACUGCACGUUGUCCAAA